GGGUUGUGAGGUUAAGCGACUAAGCGUACACGGUGGAUGCCCUGGCAGUCAGAGGCGAUGAAGGACGUGCUAAUCUGCGAUAAGCGUCGGUAAGGUGAUAUGAACCGUUAUAACCGGCGAUUUCCGAAUGGGGAAACCCAGUGUGUUUCGACACACUAUCAUUAACUGAAUCCAUAGGUUAAUGAGGCGAACCGGGGGAACUGAAACAUCUAAGUACCCCGAGGAAAAGAAAUCAACCGAGAUUCCCCCAGUAGCGGCGAGCGAACGGGGAGCAGCCCAGAGCCUGAAUCAGUGUGUGUGUUAGUGGAAGCGUCUGGAAAGGCGCGCGAUACAGGGUGACAGCCCCGUACACAAAAAUGCACAUGCUGUGAGCUCGAUGAGUAGGGCGGGACACGUGGUAUCCUGUCUGAAUAUGGGGGGACCAUCCUCCAAGGCUAAAUACUCCUGACUGACCGAUAGUGAACCAGUACCGUGAGGGAAAGGCGAAAAGAACCCCGGCGAGGGGAGUGAAAAAGAACCUGAAACCGUGUACGUACAAGCAGUGGGAGCACGCUUCGGCGUGUGACUGCGUACCUUUUGUAUAAUGGGUCAGCGACUUAUAUUCUGUAGCAAGGUUAACCGAAUAGGGGAGCCGAAGGGAAACCGAGUCUUAACUGGGCGUUAAGUUGCAGGGUAUAGACCCGAAACCCGGUGAUCUAGCCAUGGGCAGGUUGAAGGUUGGGUAACACUAACUGGAGGACCGAACCGACUAAUGUUGAAAAAUUAGCGGAUGACUUGUGGCUGGGGGUGAAAGGCCAAUCAAACCGGGAGAUAGCUGGUUCUCCCCGAAAGCUAUUUAGGUAGCGCCUCGUGAAUUCAUCUCCGGGGGUAGAGCACUGUUUCGGCAAGGGGGUCAUCCCGACUUACCAACCCGAUGCAAACUGCGAAUACCGGAGAAUGUUAUCACGGGAGACACACGGCGGGUGCUAACGUCCGUCGUGAAGAGGGAAACAACCCAGACCGCCAGCUAAGGUCCCAAAGUCAUGGUUAAGUGGGAAACGAUGUGGGAAGGCCCAGACAGCCAGGAUGUUGGCUUAGAAGCAGCCAUCAUUUAAAGAAAGCGUAAUAGCUCACUGGUCGAGUCGGCCUGCGCGGAAGAUGUAACGGGGCUAAACCAUGCACCGAAGCUGCGGCAGCGACACUGUGUGUUGUUGGGUAGGGGAGCGUUCUGUAAGCCUGUGAAGGUGUACUGUGAGGUAUGCUGGAGGUAUCAGAAGUGCGAAUGCUGACAUAAGUAACGAUAAAGCGGGUGAAAAGCCCGCUCGCCGGAAGACCAAGGGUUCCUGUCCAACGUUAAUCGGGGCAGGGUGAGUCGACCCCUAAGGCGAGGCCGAAAGGCGUAGUCGAUGGGAAACAGGUUAAUAUUCCUGUACUUGGUGUUACUGCGAAGGGGGGACGGAGAAGGCUAUGUUGGCCGGGCGACGGUUGUCCCGGUUUAAGCGUGUAGGCUGGUUUUCCAGGCAAAUCCGGAAAAUCAAGGCUGAGGCGUGAUGACGAGGCACUACGGUGCUGAAGCAACAAAUGCCCUGCUUCCAGGAAAAGCCUCUAAGCAUCAGGUAACAUCAAAUCGUACCCCAAACCGACACAGGUGGUCAGGUAGAGAAUACCAAGGCGCUUGAGAGAACUCGGGUGAAGGAACUAGGCAAAAUGGUGCCGUAACUUCGGGAGAAGGCACGCUGAUAUGUAGGUGAAGCGACUUGCUCGUGGAGCUGAAAUCAGUCGAAGAUACCAGCUGGCUGCAACUGUUUAUUAAAAACACAGCACUGUGCAAACACGAAAGUGGACGUAUACGGUGUGACGCCUGCCCGGUGCCGGAAGGUUAAUUGAUGGGGUUAGCGCAAGCGAAGCUCUUGAUCGAAGCCCCGGUAAACGGCGGCCGUAACUAUAACGGUCCUAAGGUAGCGAAAUUCCUUGUCGGGUAAGUUCCGACCUGCACGAAUGGCGUAAUGAUGGCCAGGCUGUCUCCACCCGAGACUCAGUGAAAUUGAACUCGCUGUGAAGAUGCAGUGUACCCGCGGCAAGACGGAAAGACCCCGUGAACCUUUACUAUAGCUUGACACUGAACAUUGAGCCUUGAUGUGUAGGAUAGGUGGGAGGCUUUGAAGUGUGGACGCCAGUCUGCAUGGAGCCGACCUUGAAAUACCACCCUUUAAUGUUUGAUGUUCUAACGUGGACCCGUGAUCCGGGUUGCGGACAGUGUCUGGUGGGUAGUUUGACUGGGGCGGUCUCCUCCUAAAGAGUAACGGAGGAGCACGAAGGUUGGCUAAUCCUGGUCGGACAUCAGGAGGUUAGUGCAAUGGCAUAAGCCAGCUUGACUGCGAGCGUGACGGCGCGAGCAGGUGCGAAAGCAGGUCAUAGUGAUCCGGUGGUUCUGAAUGGAAGGGCCAUCGCUCAACGGAUAAAAGGUACUCCGGGGAUAACAGGCUGAUACCGCCCAAGAGUUCAUAUCGACGGCGGUGUUUGGCACCUCGAUGUCGGCUCAUCACAUCCUGGGGCUGAAGUAGGUCCCAAGGGUAUGGCUGUUCGCCAUUUAAAGUGGUACGCGAGCUGGGUUUAGAACGUCGUGAGACAGUUCGGUCCCUAUCUGCCGUGGGCGCUGGAGAACUGAGGGGGGCUGCUCCUAGUACGAGAGGACCGGAGUGGACGCAUCACUGGUGUUCGGGUUGUCAUGCCAAUGGCACUGCCCGGUAGCUAAAUGCGGAAGAGAUAAGUGCUGAAAGCAUCUAAGCACGAAACUUGCCCCGAGAUGAGUUCUCCCUGACCCUUUAAGGGUCCUGAAGGAACGUUGAAGACGACGACGUUGAUAGGCCGGGUGUGUAAGCGCAGCGAUGCGUUGAGCUAACCGGUACUAAUGAACCGUGAGGCUUAACCUUACAACGCCGAAG
rnacentral:rRNA from 1 species